rnacentral:rRNA from 1 species
GAUGAACGCUGGCGGCGUGCCUAAUACAUGCAAGUCGAGCGAACUGAUUAGAAGCUUGCUUCUAUGACGUUAGCGGCGGACGGGUGAGUAACACGUGGGCAACCUGCCUGUAAGACUGGGAUAACUUCGGGAAACCGAAGCUAAUACCGGAUAGGAUCUUCUCCUUCAUGGGAGAUGAUUGAAAGAUGGUUUCGGCUAUCACUUACAGAUGGGCCCGCGGUGCAUUAGCUAGUUGGUGAGGUAACGGCUCAACAAGGCAACGAUGCAUAGCCGAGCUGGGAGGGUGAUCGGCCACGCUGGGACUGAGGAACGGCCCAGACUCCUACGGGAGGCAGGAGUAGGGAAUCUUCCGCAAUGGACGAAAGUCUGACGGAGCAACGCCGCGUGAGUGAUGAAGGCUUUCGGGUCGUAAAACUCUGUUGUUAGGGAAGAACAAGUACAAGAGUAACUGCUUGUACCUUGACGGUACCUAACCAGAAAGCCACGGCUAACUACGUGCCAGCAGCCGCCGUAA